AACGAGCAAUGGCUUUCUACUUACCACUUACUGUUUUCCUUCUAGAAACCUUGGAUAAUGGUUUUCAAAAGCUGAUGUCACCAGUGAACUUACUGGGAAUGCAGAUUUGGGGGACCUGGCCCCGAGACCCGGUCCCGUUCAUUUACAAGCCGCGAGAAUAGAAAUGAAGAAGACAAAGCGAUGUGGAUUCUCUACCUCCCUUACUAAAAAUUGAGCUAUUUCCAAGAAGUGAAACAAAGCAUUAUUGAUCGGACUUGUGCUAACGUUGUGUGCAACAGAACCUCCGAACCGUUACAUACUGUCAUGGGCUGGAUUGCUUCCCGCACCUCCAGGUGCUGAAAUUGAAACUCAGGGAUUGGCGCACUUAUGCCUGGUCACAUAGAGGAAAGCUGGGCGAGAAAUCUACUCCAGAUCUUCAGCCUUUGACCUCUAGACGCUUCUCCCUAUACCAAACAAGAAACUAACCUCUAAAGCCAUAAUGAGUGGGGGUGUUUACAGCAAAUUUGCCCUUCCAAGACCAAAAAGAUGAACUUACCCUUCAGAGUAUGGUGAGGAAGGAAGGAAGGGAAGAAGAUGAGGUGGAAAAAGGAGACGGUUAAGUGAGCCUUGCUUUUCCUGGGCCUUCAUUUCAUUGGCUCCACUGCUCUGAGAAUAUUCAGGGAGAGCUGUCAAAUAGAUUCCACUGACCUCGCAUUGCUAUUAAAGUGGUCUGGAUGCUAACGAACGCUCAAUGUCACCUUCUGUAUUCGACUCACCGUGGAGCAGUAACCAAGCCUCUCAGGGGCUUCUGCAUAGACGCCUCCUUGAAUGGUGCUGUCCAGGGCCCCACGGAAUAGUCUGUCAGCCCCCACAUCAGGGGGACUCUGCCACUUCUAGAGACAAAGGUGUGAGUUAGGGUUCCAGUGAAGAGGCAGGACUCCUCCCACGGGGACAGAGCAGCCUCCUUUACGAGAACAAAGUGGCCCUCUUUCCCAAAGUACUGGAUGUCAGAACGGAGGGUCUGGGGAUCUGAACAUGAGAGAAGGGUUCCGGAGAAACUUUCCCUGGCAAGAGAACCGGAGAGAGAAAGCUCAACGCAACCCCCGACCAGCUGACCAAUGUCAAGUCUCUCAUUAAGAUCUGCUGACCAAAGAGGAGAGUGACAGCGGAUUCCCUCUGUCCCUCCACGGUGUCCAAGCUGAACAUGGGGCUUGUGAACACCAAACAGCUGGGCUGUCCGUGCUCUCGGGGUGUAGCACGGUAAGCCUUGGGCACGACCCUGGGGCACCGGGCGACUAUCAGGACACCAGCGCUCUCUGAUUCAUCAUCCGUAACGUGGCGGCGACAGCCCUGCCGCCAAAGCAGUUUGCUAGGGACGCCCUUACAGAACCCCACAGGCUGGGUGGCUUGAUCAACAUAAUCUUACUUCCCCACAGACCCUUCCCUCACGGCCUCAGAAGAGACCAGCUCUACCUACACCUUGAUUGCAGAUUUCUAGCCGCACAACUGUGAGGAAGGACAUUUCACCUGCAGUGAAAUAGGGGUGUUCUGAGCCUUCGCUUACUGUUGCAGACGAUGAUGCAUUACAAAACCAAGCAAAUUAGUCCCGGGGACAGACGACGCAGGGGCAGAUCAACCACCACAACAGAAAAGACGAGCUUUCAAACCAACACGGGAAGACAAGAUUAUAAUGCCUUCCUAACAACGCUGCUUUAUUGAUGCAAUGCAAGGAAAACGACAUUAGAUUCUAUUGAUUCUCUCUGAGAUCUAAUAAUAUGCUCUAUUCAGAUCUUAUUCACACACACAUCCUCCACGGUCUUUCUCAGGAGCUGAAAUUGGCCAGUUACAAACAGAAUUGUCCUCCUGUCCUUUGAAAUCACAGACGCGGACGUGGUUUAGAACACAAAAGAUACGAAGCUUUCUUUGGGAAACAAAGCGUAGAGGGGAAAAAAUAUCUCCCCUCUAAACAAAAUUGAAAGCCUGCCUUACUUUAGAUUUAUUUGAUUACAGAAUCUUUCUCGGGGCGAAUCAGUUUUUAAAAUCUGUUCCUAUUGGCACUAGUGAGCCAAUAAAAAAUCCAGAAGGAGAGAAGUAUCACAACAACUCAGAGAAACAAGGUUGCUCAUUUUUUUUUUUUUAAAAAAGCAUUGAAUUAAUGUUUACACCACCGAGUCAAAUUAUUUAUACAUAUGCUAUACGUUUCGCAUCUGCAGAAUUUGUUAGCAUUCAGAGUAUGAUAAAUUGUACCUGACUGACUUGUGAAAAAUCAUCUCGAGAAAGAUUUUUUUCUCCAGUGGGAAAAAUAUAUAGAUGACACAUGGUGGCUUAUUGAAACUGUUCUUUCAUUGAACAGCCAGAACAAUUCAGCAGAAGGGAGAGAUGAUUUAAAAAAAAAAAGUUUUUGGGGCACCUGGGUGGCUUAGUCGGUUAAGCGUCCGACUUUC